GUUGAAGCUGAUGCAGAUUUUUUAUUGAUUCCGUUCGCAAUGGGAAGAACCUGUUUCUUCCCGGUUGCAGAAGUCGUGACGGAAACUUCAUCUCGUUUCACGCGUAUCCUGUGGACUAGCCGACGUUAGGUAUCUGGAAAGCUUUUUGCGGAAGAGAAAAUGCUACCCACAGGAACUUGCUAUGUAGCGUGCAUUUUGACACUGCUUGUUUUCGUGAUCCUUCCCAACCAUCGAAAGGAGAGAUUGACACCGCGAUGUUGGACUGAUCGGACGAAACAUUUUGAAGAUCUGCAGAAAUUUGAUCAAGUGAAUUCCUAUAUUGCUCAAUAAAAUACUCAGCAAAAAACAAUGAAUUGCAAUCAAUAAUCGAAAUAUAUUCAAAUACUUAUCACUAGAAAUAUACCUAUUUGGG